rfam:Labrenzia sp. VG12 chromosome, complete genome.
UUCACAGCCUCCAAGGUACCGGAUGCCCAGUCGGCCCAGGAAUCCGCACAGACCAUCCUGGCCACGGUUCAAUCCGGUGUGAAUUUCUGCCUUCACUCCG